GAUGAACGCUGGCGGCGUGCUUAACACAUGCAAGUCGAACGGAAAGGCCCAAGCUUGCUUGGGUACUCGAGUGGCGAACGGGUGAGUAACACGUGGGUGAUCUGCCCUGCACUUCGGGAUAAGCCUGGGAAACUGGGUCUAAUACCGGAUAGGACCACUUCUUGGAUGUUGUGGUGGAAAGUUUUUUCGGUGUGGGAUGAGCUCGCGGCCUAUCAGCUUGUUGGUGGGGUAAUGGCCUACCAAGGCGUCGACGGGUAGCCGGCCUGAGAGGGUGUACGGCCACAUUGGGACUGAGAUACGGCCCAGACUCCUACGGGAGGCAGCAGUAGGGAAUAUUGCACAAUGGGCGCAAGCCUGAUGCAGCGACGCCGCGUGGGGGAUGACGGCCUUCGGGUUGUAAACUCCUUUCGCUAGGGACGAAGCGUUUUGUGACGGUACCUGGAGAAGAAGCACCGGCUAACUACGUG
rnacentral:rRNA from 1 species